CUACUACUCCCUCCGUCCGAAAAUACUUUUCAUUGAAAUGGAUGUAUCUAGAUGUAUUUUAGUUCUAGACACAUCCAUUUUUAUGACAAGUAAUUCCGGACAAAGGGAGUAUUAU
rnacentral:pre_miRNA from 1 species